rnacentral:rRNA from 1 species
AUUGAACGCUGGCGGCAUGCCUUACACAUGCAAGUCGAACGGCAGCACGGGUGCUUGCACCUGGUGGCGAGUGGCGAACGGGUGAGUAAUACAUCGGAACAUGUCCUGUAGUGGGGGAUAGCCCGGCGAAAGCCGGAUUAAUACUGCAUACGAUCUACGGAUGAAAGCGGGGGACGUUCGGGCCUCGCGCUUUAGGGUUGGCCGAUGGCUGAUUAGCUAGUUGGUGGGGUAAAGGCCUACCAAGGCGACGAUCAGUAGCUGGUCUGAGAGGACGACCAGCCACACUGGGACUGAGACACGGCCCAGACUCCUACGGGAGGCAGCAGUGGGGAAUUUUGGACAAUGGGCGAAAGCCUGAUCCAGCAAUGCCGCGUGUGUGAAGAAGGCCUUCGGGUUGUAAAGCACUUUUGUCCGGAAAGAAAUCCUUGGCCCUAAUACGGUCGGGUUAUGACGGUACCGGAAGAAUAAGCACCGGCUAACUACGUG